UACCAGCACCCCGAGUGGUCGGGACGAUUAUUGGGCCUAAAGCAUCCGUAGCCGGUUCUACAAGUCUUCCGUUAAAUCCACCUGCUCAACAGUUGGGCUGCGGAGGAUACUAUAGAGCUAGGAGGCGGGAGAGGCAAGCGGUACUUAGUGGGUAGGGGUAAAAUCCGUUGAUCCAUUGAAGAACACCGGUGGCGAAGGCGGCCCACUGGAUCGGCACUGACGCUGAGGUGCGAAAGCGUGGGGAGCAAACAGG
rnacentral:rRNA from 1 species